rnacentral:rRNA from 1 species
GACGAACGCUGGCGGCGUGCUUAACACAUGCAAGUCGAACGGAAAGGCCCGGUUUUUGUGGUGGGCUCGAGUGGCGCACGGGUGAGUAACACGUGAGUAACCUGCCCUUGACUUUGGGAUCUCUUCAGGAAACUGGGGCUACUACCGGAUAUGACCUCCUGCUGCACGGUGGGGGUUGGAAAGUUUCGGCGGUUGGGGAUGGACUCGCGGCUUAUCAGCCUGGUGGUGGGGUUGUGGCUUGCCAAGGCUUUGACGGGUAGGCGGCCUGAGGGGGUGACCGGCAACAUUGGGACUGAGAUACGGCCGAGACUCCUACGGGAGGCAGCAGUGGGGAAUAGGGCGCAAGGGGCGGAAGCCUGAUGUAGCAAAGGCGCGUGCGGGAGGACGGCCUUCGGGUUGUAAACCGCUAUCGCCUGUGACUAGGCGGGUGGUACGGUAAUGGGUAGAGAAGUACCGGCUAACUACGUG